UUUAAGCAUAUUAAUGAGGGGAGGAAAAGAAACUAACGAGGAUUUCCUUAGUAGCGGCGAGCGAAAAGGAAAUAGUUCAGCACUAAGUCACUUUGUAAUGAUAAACAAAUGUGAGAUGCAGUGUUUUGGUAUAUCUAAAAUUCUAAUAUGAGAAGUUGGCGAUUUAAGUCCUUCUUGAAUGAGGCCACUAACCCAAAGAGGGUGCCAGGCCCGUAUAACGUUAAUGAUUGUUAGAAGAUAUUUCCAAAGAGUCGUGUUGCUUGAUAGUGCAGCACUAAGUGGGUGGUAAACUCCAUCUAAAACUAAAUAUUAACCAUAAGACCGAUAGCAAACAAGUACCGUGAGGGAAAGUUGAAAAGAACUCUGAAUAGAGAGUUAAAAAGUACGUGAAACUGUUUAGAGGUUAAGCCCGAUGAGCCUGAAUAUCCAUUAUAGAGAAUUCAUCAUUAUACCUAUGGUGUGUGUUCUUAAUAUACAUUAUUGGGUUAAAGUGUGCAUUUUCUCUAUAUAAGGACAUUGUAAUCUAUUGGAAAAUAUUUUAUUAUAAGAUCAUUAGCUUUACAAGUUUAUUCAAAUUAAAUUGUAUACAAUGCUCUUUAAUAUAGAAUAAUUGCUAUUGAUUUAAUAAAUGGCUGAUAGUUUUUAUUAAUAUGAAAUGCUUAAAUUUUCUUUUUUGAAAAUUUUAUAAUGGGCAUACAUUCAAAUAUAGAGGCAAAUUGUUGUUUGUAUAUUAUGUGUGUUUAUAUUUUAUAAGCAUUUAUAUGAUUGACAAUGCGAAAGAUUCAGGAGACCUUCGGGACCCGUCUUGAAACACGGACCAAGGAGUCUAACAUAUGUGCAAGUCAUUGGGAUUUUUAAUGAAACCUAAUGGCAAAAUUAACUUGACUGGUUUGAAAUGGGAUUAAUUAAUGUAAGCCUAUUUUAAAAGAUGGAGCUUAUUUUAUUAAAACAAUCCCGGGGCGUUCUGUACAGUUAUGUAUAAUUAUAUGAAUUUAAUAUAAUUUAUAUCUCUAACUAGAACGUACUCUGAGCAUAUAUGCUGUGACCCGAAAGAUGGUGAACUAUACUUGAUCAGGUUGAAGUCAGGGGAAACCCUGAUGGAAGACCGAAACAGUUCUGACGUGCAAAUCGAUUGUCAGAAUUGAGUAUAGGGGCGAAAGACCAAUCGAACCAUCUAGUAGCUGGUUCCCUCCGAAGUUUCCCUCAGGAUAGCUGGUGCAUGUAUAAAUUAUGUAAAAUAGUUUUAUCUGGUAAAGCGAAUGAUUAGAGGCCUUAGGGUCGAAACGACCUUAACCUAUUCUCAAACUUUAAAUGGGUAAGAACCUCACCUUUCUUGAAAUGAAGGUAGGGGUUAUGAUAUAAUGUGCCCAGUGGGCCACUUUUGGUAAGCAGAACUGGUGCUGUGGGAUGAACCAAACGUAAUGUUAUGGUGCCCAAAUUAACAACUCAUACAGAGACCAUGAAAGGCGUUGGUUGCUUAAAACAGCAGGACGGUGGACAUGGAAGUCGUAAUCCGCUAAGGAGUGUGUAACAACUCACCUGCCGAAGCAACUAGCCCUUAAAAUGGAUGGCGCUUAAGUUGUAUACCUAUACAUUGCUGCUAAAGUAAAUGAUCUACGAUUUAAUAUAAAAAGUAGAUUGUUGAUUUUGAAACUUUAGCAAGUAGGAGGGUACAAUGGUGUGCGUUGAAGUGUUUGGCGUGAGCCUGCAUGGAGCUGCCAUUGGUACAGAUCUUGGUGGUAGUAGCAAAUAAUCGAAUGAGACCUUGGAGGACUGAAGUGGAGAAGGGUUUCGUGUGAACAGUGGUUGAUCACGAGUUAGUCGGUCCUAAGUUCAAGGCGAAAGCCGAAUAUUUUUGAAGUAUCCAAAAAAAUCUUUAAUGAUAUUUAAAAUACUUGAUAAUUUGAACGAAAGGGAAUACGGUUCCAAUUCCGUAACCUGUUGAGUAUCCGUUUGUUAUUAAAUAUGGGCCUUUUGUGCUCAUCCUGGUAACAGGAACGACCAUAAAGAAGCCGUCGAGAGGUAUCGGAAGAGUUUUCUUUUCUGUUUUAUAAUCGUACUACCAUGGAAGUCUUUCGAAGAGAGAUAUGGUAGAUGGAUUAGAAGAGCAUGACAUUUACUGUUGUGUCGAUAUUUUCUCCUCGGACCUUGAAAAUUUAUGGUGGGGUUACGCAAACUUCUCGACAGGCCGUACCAAUAUCCGCAGCUGGUCUCCAAGGUGAAGAGUCUCUAGUCGAUAGAAUAAUGUAGGUAAGGGAAGUCGGCAAAUUAGAUCCGUAACUUCGGGAUAAGGAUUGGCUCUGAAGAUUGAGAUAAUCGGGCUUGAAUGGGAAGCAAUAACAAGGUUUACGUACUCGUUCUGGAUAAACAGGGACUCUUUUGAGUCUCGUUCCCCGGAUAGCAGUUAUGUAACCAAUUGUGGAACUUUCUUGCUAAAAUUUUUAAAGAAUUGUCGCCAAGAUGUAUUCUUUUUGAGUUAUAACGAUUAUUAAUUAACAAUCAAUUCAGAACUGGCACGGACUUGGGGAAUCCGACUGUCUAAUUAAAACAAAGCAUUGUGAUGGCCCUAGCGGGUGUUGACACAAUGUGAUUUCUGCCCAGUGCUCUGAAUGUCAAAGUGAAGAAAUUCAAGUAAGCGCGGGUAAACGGCGGGAGUAACUAUGACUCUCUUAAGGUAGCCAAAUGCCUCGUCAUCUAAUUAGUGACGCGCAUGAAUGGAUUAACGAGAUUCCUACUGUCCCUAUCUACUAUCUAGCGAAACCACAGCCAAGGGAACGGGCUUGGAAUGAUUAGCGGGGAAAGAAGACCCUUUUGAGCUUGACUCUAAUCUGGCAGUGUAAGGAGACAUAAGAGGUGUAGCAUAAGUGGGAGAUAAAUAGGGACUUGUUUUUAUUUAUCGGCAAUGAAAUACCACUACUCUUAUUGUUUCCUUACUUACUUGAUUAAGUGGAACGUGUAUUAUUACUUAGCCAUUGUACGGAUAUAUUUCAUAUGUCUUAUGGUAAUGGGUAUUGAUGCAAGCUUCUUGAUCAAAAUAUUAAGAGUUUGUUAUAUAAUUGCAAACGAAUUGAGAUGAUGUAAUGGCAUUAUUUUUAUGAUGAUGUUAUUAUAGCAAUUGAAAUUUGGUAUAACUCCUAAUGCUCAGGUAUGAUCCAAUUCAAGGACAUUGCCAGGUGGGGAGUUUGACUGGGGCGGUACAUCUCUCAAAUAAUAACGGAGGUGUCCCAAGGCCAGCUCAGUGCGGACAGAAACCACACAUAGAGCAAAAGGGCAAAUGCUGACUUGAUCUCGGUGUUCAGUACACACAGGGACAGCAAAAGCUCGGCCUAUCGAUCCUUUUGGUUUAAAGAGUUUUUAACAAGAGGUGUCAGAAAAGUUACCAGAGGGAUAACUGGCUUGUGGCGGCCAAGCGUUCAUAGCGACGUCCCUUUUUGAUCCUUCGAUGUCGGCUCUUCCUAUCAUUGUGAAGCAAAAUUCACCAAGCGUUGGAUUGUUCACCCAUUCAAGGGAACGUGAGCUGGGUUUAGACCGUCGUGAGACAGGUUAGUUUUAUCCUACUAAUGACAAUCGUUGUUGCGACAGCAUUCCUGCGUAGUACGAGAGGAACCGCAGGUACGGAUCAAUGGCACAAUACUUGUUCGAGUGAACAGUGGUAUGAUGCUACGUCCGUUGGAUUAUGCCUGAACGCCUCUAAGGUCGUAUCCGUGCUGGACUGCAAUGACAAAAAUGGGGCAUUUGCUUAUUGUAUGACUAUUGAAAUCAUUUAAAGUUUAUAUAGUGUAUAUAUGUAAACGAUAAUGGUAUUGAUGUCAAUGUUAUUUGUAAUAUAGUUAAUCGGGAGGAUUAAAUAUCACCUGGUGACGUUACUAAUUACAUAUAAAAGCAUUUUAYAAURCAAUGGCAAUGCCUAGAAUCAAUUGUAAU
rnacentral:rRNA from 1 species